rnacentral:rRNA from 1 species
CCAAUAGCGUAUAUUAAAGUUGUUGCAGUUAAAAAGCUCGUAGUUGAAUUUCGGGACCAAUAUGUCGGUCGUGCUUCGGUACGUACUUGCAUUAUUGGUUUCUCCCUUCUGAAGAACCAUGAUGUCAUUAAUUUGGUGUCUUGGGGAAUCAGGACUGUUACUUUGAAAAAAUUAGAGUGUUUAAAGCAGGCUCACGCUUGAAUACAUUAGCAUGGAAUAAUGAAAUAGGACGUUUGAUUCUAUUUUGUUGGUUUCUAGGAUCGACGUAAUGAUUAAUAGGGAUAGUUGGGGGCAUUAUUAUUCAAUUGUCAGAGGUGAAAUUCUUGGAUUUAUUGAAGACUAACUACUGCGAAAGCAUUUGCCAAGGAUGUUUUCAUUAAUCAAGAACGAAAGUUAGGGGAUCGAAGACGAUCAGAUACCGUCGUAGUCUUAACCAUAAACUAUGCCGACUAGGGAUCGGAUGAUGUUAUUUUUGAUGACUCAUUCGGCGCCUUACG